CCCAUAGGAUAUGCUAGGACUGUCAGGGAUGCAGAUCAGGGGCAGAGCCAGCACAAGUCAAACACAGCCCUGGCCAGUCAGCAUCUCCUUAUAGUGAUGCAUUGAAUCAAUGCAUCUCUAUGAGCAAAGUUCAGUGUAUCCAUGCAGAGGAUGGAGACACUGCCCCAGGAAGCACCUCUCGUAGCCAUCUGAGAAGUGGCCAUGGGAGUUAUCCCUAGGCUGUAAUGUAAACACUGCAUUUUCUCUGAAAAGACAGUGUUUACUGCAAAAGGCCUGCAGGGAAUGAUUCU